rnacentral:misc_RNA from 1 species
UACGUAGGUGGCAAGCGUUGUCCGGAAUUAUUGGGCGUAAAGCGCGCGCAGGCGGUCCCUUAAGUCUGAUGUGAAAUCUUGCGGCUUAACCGUGGAGGGUCAUUGGAAACUGGAGGACUUGAGUACAGAAGAGGAAAGUGGAAUUCCACGUGUAGCGGUGAAAUGCGUAGAUAUGUGGAGGAACACCAGUGGCGAAGGCGGCUCUCUGGUCUGUAACUGACGCUGAGGCGCGAAAGCGUGGGGAGCAAACAGG